rnacentral:rRNA from 1 species
GACGAACGCUGGCGGCGUGCUUAACACAUGCAAGUCGAACGAUGAUCCGGUGCUUGCAUCGGGGAUUAGUGGCGAACGGGUGAGUAACACGUGAGUAACCUGCCCUGGACUCUGGGAUAA